GCCAGCUGCGGCGAGUGGCGCGCGGGGAUGCGGCGCAUGGAGGAACCCGGCGUGAUCCAGCGGCUGGCGCCCAAGCUGGGCAUCGCUGCGCCCGGAGUGCUCAGAAAAGCAGAAGAAUAUCUGCGACUGUCCCAGGUGAAGUGCAUGGGAUUGUUGGCUCAGAUGACGGCAACAAGCAAUGCGGUGAUGUGCCUGGACCUAGCAGCUGGCUAUAUGCAACACCCAGUGGACAAAAGCUACUUAAUUAAACUCUCCGGUUUGAACAAGAGGACUUACCAGAGCUGUAUGAAGUCUUUUGAGUGUUUGCUAGGUUUGAACUCCAAUCUGGGAGUCCGAGAUUUGGCUGUACAGUUCUGCUGCACAGAGGCAGUGAACACCGCUUCACAAAUAUUACAAAGGUAUGAAUCCAGUCUCUCUGAAAUGCAGCAGAUGGAUCUUGAUUUAUCAAAACCCUUGUUCACCACAGCUGCAUUGUUCACAGCCUGCAGGUGCUUGAAAAUAAAAGUGGAUAAGAAAAAAAUGGUGGAUACCUCUGGGGUGAAGAAGGCAAUAUUUGACAGGCUCUGCAGCCAGCUGGAGACAAUUGGCCAGCAGAUCAGCAGAGACUGUGCUUCACUGACUCCUCAGCCAACCCAAAGCCAGAAGACCUUGCUUGAAUGCACUGAAAAGGAGGAGGAACAUGAAGAUGAAGUUGAAACCCCUCGGAAGCGGCAGAAAAGUGAAACCGAAACAAAACAAGAUUAUGAAGAAUGGAAAAAGAGAAUCCUGGAAAACGCUGCUAAGGCAAAAGGGGCCAAUGUCUGACUUCAGUCUCUGGAGUGCCACCAAGAAAUGUCACUGCCUCUGAUGGGACUCUCUGAAGUUAAGAUCCCACAGCAAGUCAGUGGCCGUCAGGAGCAGACGCCUUGUCUUCCGACUCCUAUCCCUCUGCUCAAGUCCGCUAGAUGACAAUUACCCUUCCAGUUUAAUGCCCGUCUUAACUUUCAUUCACAAAAACAUUCCCAUUGGUAGAAGGAUUCACUGGACACAUGUUCAUCAAAGGAAGACGAGGCCCAUGUAACUUCAUUCAGCAUCAGUAUUUGACAAGCUGGGCCACAUUCUGUCCUACAAUACAAUGUAUACAGCUCCCUUUGACUUCAGUGGGAGCUGAGCAUACAACUCCUAGAACAGAAUUAGGCCCCAGAUGGUUCUUUGCACCUAUCCAGUGUAUGGAAGGCACUUAGAUUGGGAAUAAUGUCGCUUUCAUAUCAAUGCUUUUAAAGAAGCCAAAGCGACGACAGAACUAGCUCCUGGACAUAUGUGACAGGUUCUUCUUAAAACAAAACAAAUGAUUCCACAUUUCCUCCGUUUAACCUCUCUUGCACCAGGCACAGUUACUGAGAGAGCCGUUACCUUGAUUGAAAUACAUUGACAUUGUUCUUUUAAAAAAUAAGGAUUGUGUCACUACUGAACUGCCUGGUAGACACAAACAUGGCAAAAGAAAAGUCAUGGUACUAACAUUCAGUGAUUGGCUGCCAUACAUAUAUUUAGUUAGGAAGAACU